rnacentral:miRNA from 2 species
GAGUCGGGUACUCGAAUGGA